rnacentral:lncRNA from 1 species
AUGUACUUCUCAUUGUUGCAUUAUUGCAUCGUUGCAUAUAGCAUGGCAUUAUUACAAUUGCGAGGCAAGGUAUGGUUCUAUUAAUUGCAUAGUCAAGAUAUCUAUCUAUCUGUUUAUUAAACUAACCUGCAGUUGCCUCCUUUGAACCUGUCGGUCGAGCUUUUCCCUUGGGUGGCCGUACCCACUGGGAACCAUCGAGUUGGUUCUCACCCCACGUUGAUUUUGGGUGUUACAGGUUCGCACG